UACGUAGGGUGCAAGCGUUGUCCGGAAUUAUUGGGCGUAAAGAGCUCGUAGGCGGUCUGUCGCGUCGGCUGUGAAAACCUGGGGCUCAACCCCGGGCCUGCAGCCGAUACGGGCAGACUAGAAUUCGGCAGGGGAGACUGGAAUUCCUGGUGUAGCGGUGAAAUGCGCAGAUAUCAGGAGGAACACCGGUGGCGAAGGCGGGUCUCUGGGCCGACACUGACGCUGAGGCGCGAAAGCCAGGGGAGCAAACGGG
rnacentral:rRNA from 1 species